rnacentral:rRNA from 1 species
UUUCCUUCGGGGAUGAAGGGUUUAUGACUGAGUGGCGGACGGGUGAGUAACGCGUGGGCAACCUGCCCCGUACCGGGGGACAACAGCCGGAAACGGCUGCUAAUACCGUAUACGUUUUAAGGACCGCAUGGUCCGUAAAACAAAACUCCGGUGGUACGGGAUGGGCCCGCGUCUGAUUAGCUCGUUGGCGGGGUAACGGCCCACCAAGGCGACGAUCAGUAGCCGGCCUGAGAGGGCGGCCGGCCACAUUGGGACUGAGACACGGCCCAGACUCCUACGGGAGGCAGCAG